rnacentral:rRNA from 1 species
CGAGAUUCAACCGGUGGCAACACCGGAGAAGAUCUAGUGGCGAACGGGUGAGUAACACGUGAGGAACCUGCCCCGAAGUCCGGGAUAAGCCCUCGAAAGGGGGUCUAAUACCGGAUGUCCCCAUCAGGUCGCAUGGCCGGAUGAGGAAAGGAUUCCGCUUCGGGAGGGCCUCGCGGCCUAUCAGCUUGUUGGUGAGGUAACGGCUCACCGAGGCUCCGACGGGUAGCUGGUCUGAGAGGACGAUCAGCCACACUGGGACUGAGACACGGCCCAGACUCCUACGGGAGGCAGCAGUGGGGAAUCUUGCGCAAUGGGCGAAAGCCUGACGCAGCAACGCCGCGUGCGGGAUGACGGCCUUCGGGUUGUAAACCGCUUUCAGUGGGGACGAAACCAGACGGUACCCACAGAAGAAGCCCCGGCCAACUACGUGCCAGCAGCCGCGGUAACACGUAGGGGGCGAGCGUUGUCCGGAAUCAUUGGGCGUAAAGAGCUCGUAGGCGGCUCAGUAAGUCGGGUGUGAAACCCUCAGGCUCAACCUGGGGACGCCACCCGAUACUGCUGUGGCUAGAGUCCAGUAGAGGAGUGUGGAAUUCCCGGUGUAGCGGUGAAAUGCGCAGAUAUCGGGAGGAACACCAACGGCGAAGGCAGCACUCUGGGCUGGAACUGACGCUGAGGAGCGAAAGCGUGGGUAGCAAACAGGAUUAGAUACCCUGGUAGUCCACGCCGUAAACGUUGGGCACUAGGUGUGGGGACCCUCCAACGGUUUCCGUGCCGUAGCUAACGCAUUAAGUGCCCCGCCUGGGGAGUACGGCCGCA